rnacentral:tRNA from 1 species
CCGGUGGUGGAACGCGGAAGCCCGCGCCGUUCUCAACGGCGCGGGCUUCCGCGUUCGGGCCGCGUCCCUCAGGC